CAGUCGCCACGGUAAUACGGAGGGGGCUAGCGUUGUUCGGAAUUACUGGGCGUAAAGCGCACGUAGGCGGCUUGGUAAGUUAGAGGUGAAAGCCCGGAGCUCAACUCCGGAAUUGCCUUUAAGACUGCCGAGCUAGUAGGUGAGAGAGGUAAGUGGAAUUCCGAGUGUAGAGGUGAAAUUCGUAGAUAUUCGGAAGAACACCAGUGGCGAAGGCGGCUUACUGGCUCAUUCUAGACGCUGAGGUGCGAAAGCGUGGGGAGCAAACAGGAUUAGAUACCCCUGUAGUCCCUGUCUCUUAUAA
rnacentral:rRNA from 1 species